rnacentral:lncRNA from 1 species
AAUUUUAUGGUUUCUUUGUCCUUUUCUUAGAUUAAGUCACCAUUCCUCUCAUUCCUUUUUUAUCAGUUGAGGAGUGGGCUAGAGAUUCGCAUUUCCUAUAGUAAACAAAGUCUGUGGGGAAUGCACAUUUCCUAUAAUAAAACAAGUCCUGUGGAGGUGUUACUCCCUGGAGCCCUUAAGCCACUAAUGUUAAUCAAAAUCCAUAUCAAAAAAAUGUAUUGGAGCCCAGGUUCCUACACUGACUGAGUUAAUAUUCUGUCUCAUAAAGACUAGACCAAUUGCAAGCUUGCAACAGUGGUUUUUUGCUAUGUAAACCAUAGGUGAAUAACUUGGCCCAUUACCCCUCAAUUUCCACAUCUUAAAAAGAGGAUAAAAGCUUAUGAUGGAGCAUGAUAAUGUGAGAAAAAAAAAGUAUACAUGUAUGUGUAACUGGGUCACCAUGCUGUACAGCAAAAAAAAAAAAAAAUUUAUUGGGGAAAUAACAAUUAAAACAAACUAUUCCUACUACCUAGGGAUGGCUUGAGUUUUAAAUGAGAUAAUUUAUGUAAACUAUUUAGAUGAGUUCUUCAGAAAUUUGAAGAAUUUUCUAAGUAUCAGCAGUUAUUAUCAUCAUCACUUCAUCUGGGGAAUCCCGAAUGUUUCAUCUACUCUCUUUUGUAGCCUUUAAAAUUAUCUUCCUGACAACAAUGUUGGACAUUUGAACCUUUGAUCCCUGGUGUUCUUAUCUACCAUCCAUGUGACUUGAUGGGGACACUGAUCUGAACCACAUUGCUGCUCUGUUCCAGCUCUGAUGUCACCUGCUGUUUGAUACCUGCUGUUUGAUACCUGCUGUUUGUCCCCUCUGAAAUUUCUAUCUGAGGGAAAGGAUGUCCCUACUCCCACUAGCCUUAAGAGUCUGCAUGGACUUCCUCAUCUUCAAAAUGGAAUCAAUCCACAUCUUGUUUUCUGACUAUUUGGUGCCCUUCUCAUGGAGACUGAAUGAAGAAUGCUUUGCAAAUAUCAUUGUGAACUGUAAGUAGUUUCAUGACUAUGAUGUGAUCAUUGAGGUCUCUGUGGCAGGUGAGGGAAUGCAUGCUGAUAUAAUACUUUUGACUGGUUUCUUCCUCAGUUGAAUGACUCUACACAGGAUUUUAACCUCAAGUUAAACCACGGGUUCCACACUGGUGUGUUCAUUUUCUGGUCUUUGUAUACAUAAAACGAAGGCUUUACCUUAAUCUAUAUACAAAAAAAAAAAAAAAAAAGAAAAAAAAAGAAAGAAGGAAAGAAAGGAAGGAAGGAAUAAAAAGGGGGAAAGGGAGGAAGGAAAGAAAAAA